rnacentral:rRNA from 1 species
UACGUAGGCAGCGAGCGUUGUUCGGAGUUACUGGGCGUAAAGGGAGCGUAGGUGGUUAGGUAAGCCCUCCGGGAAAUCUUCAGGCUUAACCUGAAAAGGUCGGGGGGGACUGCCUGGCUAGAGGACGGGAGAGGAGCGCGGAAUUCCCGGUGUAGCGGUGAAAUGCGUAGAGAUCGGGAGGAAGGCCGGUGGCGAAGGCGGCGCUCUGGAACGUUUCUGACACUGAGGCUCGAAAGCGUGGGGAGCAAACAGG